ACAAGAAGUUGCUUUACUGAAUAAAGCAAGAAAAAUGGGAGCUACUGGUUCAGAUGUGAAAUGAAGAUCUUCCAAUUGAAGGGAGGAUGAUAAGAGGCUGCUGAAUUUAAGAAACAAAGUCAGCCAGGUUUUUCUAAUAUGAGAUAUGAACAGACCAGGUGGUCAUUCCUACCAGGGAGAAGUGAGGGUAAGUGGUUGUCCCGGACAAGGAGGUAAGAAAUACCAGUCUCCAAACAUCCAUGUGUAUAUCAAGUGGUGUGGAUUUUACUUUCUGGAAGAAGAACUGUGGUG